UUUUCUUUGAUCUACUGCCAUUGAUGACUUUCCGUUGGUUCCGAUCAUGCUCUCAUACACUUUACAUCCUCUCUACAGACAUAACAAACCACGCCAGCAAGCACCGCCCUGACAUGACGUCCAGCACGUCAACCACGCGGAAACAAAACUCUUUUCGACCUAUGCUUUACCCUGCGUUGGGAACUGCCUCCCCUUCCCCCUGGGCCAUUGUGGUCUAUCGCCAUCACCUCUCAAUUCCAUUAUUGAAUUCGGCAUUUCUGUCAAUGGCUUGAAUAUCCAUUGCUCUGUUGACGAUGUUUUGUUAGAUGCUGACUGUAACAAAUUAGAUGAUGAAGGAGAUGGUGCUAUCUUCAACGACGAGGAGAUGGUUGGAGAUGACGAUGGUCCUGAAGUCGUAGAAUUUUGGGUUGAUGGUUUGGGUGACUGUGGAGAAGCAGGAGGGGGUCUUGUGACAGACGGGAAUAGAGACUCAGGAGGCACAGGCGAUGGUGACACCUUUCCGGUAAUUGAAGGUGUAGUUGCGCUUUCCCAUGGGGGUCUUGAACUGUCUUGUGCGCUGCUAUAUCUCGGAGUGACUAUAGAUGUCUCUGAUGCAGGUGGC
rnacentral:sRNA from 1 species